AUUGAACGCUGGCGGCAGGCUUAACACAUGCAAGUCGAGCGAGCGGCGGACGGGUGAGUAAUGUAUGGGGACUGCCCGAUCGAGGGGGAUAACUACUGGAAACGGUGGCUAAUACCGCAUACUAUCGGAUAACCCAUAUGGGAUGAGCUAGUGGGUGGGGUAAUGGCUCGCCUAGGGGACGAUCUCUAGCUGGUCUGAGAGGAUGAACGGCCACACUGGGACUGAGACACGGCCCAGACUCCUACGGAGGCAGAAGUGGGGAAUAUUGCACAAUGGGCGCAAGCCUGAGACACCCCUGCCGCGUGUAUGAAGAAGGCCUUAGGGUUGUAAGGUACUUUCAGCGGGGAGGCGUUACCCGCAGAAGAAGCCCCGGCUAACUCCGUGCCAGCAGCCGCGGUAAUUC
rnacentral:rRNA from 1 species